rnacentral:rRNA from 1 species
CAUGGCUGUCGUCAGCUCGUUCGUGAGAUGUGGGUUAAGUCCCGUAACGAGCGCAACCCUUGUCCUUAGUUACCAGCACGUAAUGGUGGGCACUCUAAGGAGACUGCGGUGACAAACCGGAGGAAGGUGGGGAUGACGUCAAGUCAUCAUGGCCCUUACGGCCUGGGCUACACACGUGCUACAAUGGUCGGUACAGAGGGUUGCCAAGCCGCGAGGUGGAGCUAAUCCCACAAAACCGAUCGUAGUCCGGAUCGCAGUCUGCAACUCGACUGCGUGAAGUCGGGAAUCGCUAGUAAUCGCGAAUCAAGAAUGUCGCGGUGAAUACGUUCCCGCGUCCUUGUACACACGCA